rnacentral:rRNA from 1 species
GUGAGGAAUAUUGGUCAAUGGGCGGGAGCCUGAACCAGCCAAGUCGCGUGAAGGAAGAAGGAUCUAUGGUUCGUAAACUUCUUUUGCAGGGGAAUAAAGUGCAGGACGUGUCCUGUUUUGUAUGUACCCUGAGAAUAAGGAUCGGCUAACUCCGUGCCAGCAGCCGCGGUAAUACGGAGGAUCCGAGCGUUAUCCGGAUUUAUUGGGUUUAAAGGGUGCGUAGGUGGUUUGAUAAGUCAGCGGUGAAAGUUUGCAGCUUAACUGUAAAAAUGCCGUUGAAACUGUCGUGCUUGAGUGUAAAUGAGGUAGGCGGAAUGCGUGGUGUAGCGGUGAAAUGCAUAGAUAUCACGCAGAACUCCGAUUGCGAAGGCAGCUUACUAAGCUACAACUGACACUGAAGCACGAAAGCGUGGGGAUCAAACAGGAUUAGAAACCCGAGUAGUCC